rnacentral:lncRNA from 1 species
UAACUCUUAGUCCAGACAGGCUUUGAACGUCAGCUCUUUGAUAGCUGGGACUACAGGCCUGUGCCACCAAACUUUUUGUUCCUUCUGAGAUUUUUGUUGUUGUUACUGUUUUGCUUUUCUGUCUUUGUUUUUUUUGUUGUUUUUGUUUUUUAAAGACAGUGUUUCUCUGUGUAACAAGCUCUGGCUGUCCUGGACUUGCUUUAUAGACCAAGCUGACCUUGAACUCACAGAGAUCCACCAGUCUCUGCAGGGAUUAAAGCCAUGCAUCACCACAGCCAGUCACAGGGUAACUUGUGCUUGGAAACACCGUUCUGGAUACUGAUGGAUAAUCUGACAUAAAAUCCACUCCUAUUUACUACACCUGGGAAGCGUGCAGAAGUGCAUUCCAGGAACAAAUCCAUAUCAUGGAGGAACAGAGGUUACAAGGCUCUUGUUUUGUUUGCUUGGAGUUUUCUCACAAGGUCUCAGAAAUCUCCCCAUACAGCUUCAAUCACAGACUGUGUUCUGACAGGUGAGUAGUUUGAUGCUAGCCUGGGCUACAUAGCAAGACUCUUGACUCGACAACAAAAACCAACACCAGAUUGUAGACCUAUGGGCUCUGGUUAGCUUGUUUGAUUUUUUUUUUUUAAAUAAUUUUACUUUAAAACACCAUUUACCUUGGGCCAGAAAGAUAGAUCAGCAGUAAAGACACUUGCCUCCCAAGCCUGGAGGACCAAGUUUGGUCUCUAGAACCGGCAGAAGGGGUGGAAGGAGAGACCUGACUUCACAGAGUUGUCUCUGUCCUACAUAUGUGUGGUGUCACACAUGCCCCACCCCCAUAAAUCAUACAAACUCAUGAUGGUAAUAAAUUUUAAAGUAUUAAAUUACUACAUAGCUGGAUUACUGGGAGGUUUUCGGCACCCUCCAAGAAGACUCUGUGCCAACGCAAGUGCUUUCCUUGUCCUGUCCUGGACUGACUUGUUUGCACAACCAGACCAGCACAGUACCUAGAAGUGUGCUACGUGUUUUUGUAGUUGGAUGAAUAGAUGGAAGGAAGGGAAAAGGACUCCAACCUGGGAAUGUGAACGCUCCAAUCCAGGCUCUACCACUAUCUAUGUGUCCAAGAAUGUCCUCUAACUGCUGUCAGCCUCACUCUUCUCGUGUGCAAAACACAUUGUUGACCCGUUCUUUCUACAAACAUGGCAACAUCCAUAGACACAGUUGUGGAUCAAACAUGGAGAGAGGACCCCUGCUGUCUCCUUGCCCUGGCGGCAGCCUCUUACUGAUGUGUAACAGUUUCCUCUGAGAUUAAAACAUUCCAUCCUCUAGGGGUGCUCCUCAGGCAAGGAGGUAAACAAUUAAAAAACAGCUUCAGGAACUCCCUGAAACUGACCAGAUUGAGUAGGCUCCUCCCUCCCAGAGUAAACAAAGUGGCAAGUCCCUUUUAGAAGAAGCAAAGCCUAGCAGCACAGAAGACUCACAGUGGAAAAGAGACUGAGACCAGACCUGCUGCCUGAGAGAAGCAGAAACCAGCCUGCUUGCCUGGAAGAAAUUUAAAGCGACUAAGGCACCUGGAAGGGACAUUCUCCUAGCUGUUUUUACAGUGUAACGUGCUCCAGGUUUUCUGGCUUUUCUGAGCUGUCA